ensembl:misc_RNA Metazoa_SRP Metazoan signal recognition particle RNA
GCCGGGUGUGGUGGCUCACACCUGUAAUCCGAGCACUUUGGGAGGCCGAGGCAGGUGGAUCACUUGAGGUCAGGAGUUCGAGACCAGCCUGACCAACAUGGUGAAAUCCUGUCUCUA